ACAAAAAACGUUGCCUAACCACAAACACGACAACAUCCCACGAAAAUGACGGCCAUAAGAAGGACUCGGCAGAUAGAGAGAGAGAGUGGGAGUGGGAGAAAGUGAACUUAAGUUUGGCAGAUUCUUCGAUUCCAACCACUCACCAUGUUGUCUAUCGAGCAACAGGAAGAAGUUGUCACACCGCAGAUAGAUUGCGCUGAUAAGUGCAUAAUGCAGACACACACGGGCACAUCGGAAAUUUGUGGCUUCUUCGUUACACACAUACGUGCGUGUGUGUGUGUGUGUGAGUGGGUGCGAUAUGUUUGCACGAAUAAUAAGCAGAUUUGCAAGCAACCGCAACAACAACAAUAACAGCAACAACCGCAGUCAGCCAGGCGAUAUUUUGCCUUUUACCAUUGUUCAAAUUUUGUAGUUUUUUUGGUCGUUGUUCAUUUGUGGCUCAUGGCGGACAUCAAAAUUGAA